GACGAGGGGUCCUAGCGUUGUUCGGAAUCAUUGGGCGUAAAGCGUGUGUAGGCUGCCAUUCAAGUCAGUUGUGAAAUCCCCGGGCUUAACCCGGGAAGUGCUUCUGAUACUGUUUGGCUUGAGUACUGGAGAGGAUAGUAGAAUUCCUGGUGUAGUGGUGAAAUACGUAGAUAUCAGGAGGAAUACCGGUGGCGAAGGCGGCUAUCUGGCAAUGUACUGACGCUGAGACACGAAAGCGUGGGGAGCAAACAGG
rnacentral:rRNA from 1 species